rnacentral:tmRNA from 1 species
CGUGCAUCGCCCAUGUGCUACGGUAAGGGUCUCACUCUAAGUGGGCUACACUAGUUAAUCUCCGCCUGGGGUUAAAUAGAAGAGCUUAAUCAGACUAGCUGAAUGGAAGCCUGUUACCGGGCCGAUGUUUAUGCGAAAUGCUAAUACGGUGACUACGCUCGUAGAUAUUUAAGUGCCGAUAUUUCUGGACGUGGGUUCGACUCCCACCAUCUCCAUAU